GUCAUUUUAAGGGAAUGGAUUACAGGAUGGGGGAAGGGGAGGUUCUGGUGGUCCUACGGUGUAAAUUUGGGGAGGUUUGGACGGGAGGCGGUGGUUCCAACGACCUUACUUUUGAAUAUUCGAGACAGAGGAGACUUAUUCGAUGAAAAUCAGUCACAGGAUGGGAAAGAGGGGGUAAUGGUGGUUUGAUAUUGUAAACUUGGGGAGAUUUGGUGACCGGCCGCCGUCGAGAGGCAAUUUCCGGCGGCGGCGUUAGGGUGGUAGACGGGUGGUCAGCUGUGGUCAAGGGGUGGUCAAUGGUGGUGUUAUAGUG
rnacentral:lncRNA from 1 species